GAUGAACGCUGGCGGCGCGCCUAACACAUGCAAGUCGAACGGCACCUAUCUUCGGAUAGAAGCGAGUGGCGAACGGCUGAGUAACACGUGGAGAACCUGCCCCCUCCCCGGGACUAGCCGCCCGAAACGGACGGGUAAUACCGGAUACCCCGGGGUCGGCCGCAUGGCACCCCGGCCUAAAGCCCCGACCGGGAGGGGAUGGCUCCGCGGCCCAUCAGGUAGACGGCGGGGUGACGGCCCACCGUGCCGACAACGGGUAGCCGGGUUGAGAGACCGACCGGCCAGAUUGGGACUGAGACACGGCCCAGACUCCUACGGGAGGCAGCAGUGGGGAAUCUUGCGCAAUGGGGGGGAACCCUGACGCAGCGACGCCGCGUGCGGGACGGAGGCCUUCGGGUCGUAAACCGCUUUCAGCAGGGAAGAGUCAAGACUGUACCUGCAGAAGAAGCCCCGGCUAACUACGUGCCAGCAGCCGCGGUAAUGUACAGUGU
rnacentral:rRNA from 1 species